GACGAACGCUGGCGGCGUGCUUAACACAUGCAAGUCGAACGGUGAAAGCGGAGCUUGCUCCGCUGGAUCAGUGGCGAACGGGUGAGUAACACGUGGGCAACCUGCCCUUCACUUCGGGAUAACUCCGGGAAACCGGGGCUCAUACCGGAUAUGACCUCUGCGAGCAUCCGCGGAGGUGGAGAGUUUUUCGGUGAAGGAUGGGCGCGCGGUCUAUCCGCUUGUUGGUGAGGUAGGGGCCCACGAGGGCGAAGACGGGUAGCCGGCCUAGGAGGGCGACGGGCCACACUGGGACUGAGACACGGCCCAGACUCCUACGGGAGGCAGCAGUGGGGAAUAUUGCGCAAUGGGCGAAAGCCUGACGCAGCAACGCCGCGUGCGGGAUGACGGCCUUCGGGUUGUAAACCGCUUUCAGCAGGGAAGAAGCCGCAAGGUGACGGUACCUGCAGAAGAAGCACCGGCUAACUACGUGCCAGCCGCCGCCGUAACAC
rnacentral:rRNA from 1 species